AUGUGCAGCCGCGACAAGAACGGACUAGAUUAUCAACUGUUCUUUAAUACCAGAGGAGCAUUUAAGCCUAUUGGCUGGAGUGGACUGACUGUAAUUGCCUGUUUUUGUGGUGUGCUGAAAAUCAUCUGGAUGAAGUAUCGGAUCGCUAGCAUGGUGCUCUUAUUGAGUCCAAUACUUGUCCGGUCAUUAUCUGAGGUGUCACCAGGAGUAUGGUAUCCGAUGCGUAGUGCUGCAUCACUAGGGAGUCCAUUAGUUGCAAUCGUAUUGCUAGCUCCCUCUAUAUCAAAAGACCACUCGUUGUUCGAAUGGGCAGUGUUCUUAGUACUACUUGGGGCAGUGCUCGUAGCAACAAUAAGCAAUCUGCACGUCAGAAGAACCAAUAAAUUUGUGGACAGUCUUCCAGGCAGCAAACAAGAAUCUUGGUGUCAAGUUAUUAUAAACAUGUGCAUGAUUGCUGCUCUAGGGAUGCUGGUGUACAUGUUUGGUGCACAUGAACAUGAAACAUCAACGAUGAUCAUAAUUGAAGUAUGUGCACUAGUGAUACUGUCAUUUGGCAACUUACAGAUUCCAGCAGCAGUUGUGCGUGUCAUUCUAGCAUCAGGUGGGUUUACCCUAGUAGAUCGUAGUACUGAGCCUGCAUACAAUGAAAAACUUGAUGGUCAACAAAACAUUAAAGCAUCUCUAAAAAUCUUUUAUGGGAUUAUGCUUGCACAAGGAAUACUCUAUGCCAUGGCCUGCAUGUUCGAGUUCUUCUCUUACAUCCCUCGAAGAUCCCUCGCCUGCCGUGUUGGAGUUAAUGCUCAGUGGGGAAAGAAAUCUGUCAAUAUGUAUUAUGCAUAUGCGUCAGAGAAAUGCAAGCAAGGGGGUGUUCUUGCUCCAAAGAAGAUCAGCCUCAGCACCUUUGCCAUGGAUUCUGUGAAGUCGGAUUUUUUUUUGGAGAAAUCAGAUUCAACCAAAAAUCAGCUCUACGGGGUACAAGUGGUGCACAACUUUCUGCAAAGUGAAGUAACCAAGGCACAACUCCUUUCAAAACUCGCCACUUCUAACAAGACGAUGACCAGAAUAAUCAGAAUGUUGGAUUGGACAAGUCCAAAGGAUACAGCUAUCAGAUUAUAUGCCGCAAAGGUCAUGGUGGAGCUUGCAAAGAAUCUCCGUGUUGGCACUAUCCCUGGUACAAUGCAGCUUGUAUCUGCACUUCUUGACGCUGAAAGCAGACUGAAAAGAGGAAAUCCACUCUUAGACACCGAUGAUGAACACGAAGAAAGACAAGCUCCAUUUCUGGAAGGUAACCAAGAGCAAGGAUAUCAUCAUACGGUAAGGGAUGUAGCUGAUAACCAAGGGCAAAGGCCCAACCCAGUUCAAGACACUGAUGAUCUGCUCGAGGAAACACAAAACUGCUCGACCCAACAAGCUUGCAACGACAAACAUAACUACAUACUCAAAUGCUGGCAGUGGAUUUCAGAAUUACGUCCAAUUCCCAAUGAACAACCAUCGACAGACCAUGAUCUUCUCCCUGCACUGGCCAUGACAAUUAUUGAAAAUCUUGCUGGUUGUGAUCAAGACAACUGUGUGGAGAUCAGCAAAGCAGCUGAUCUUAUCUCGAAGAUCAUAGGAUUCACAAGCUACAGAAGUGACACAAUGAAUACUGAUAUAGAACAGAAGAUCCUACUGAAGUCAUCACUGAAGGUACUCCAAAGGCUCACAAGCAUUGGCGGGGAAAUUGGCAUCACACUGCGGUGCAAGAUAUCGAAACACCCCUUCCUACUGAGUAACCUCUCAGACAUCCUUGGAGACGACAAGAGCAGCCAGAUAUCGAGAAAGUUGGUGGCGGGAAUACUCAGAAACAUUGCCAUUGAUGAGAAAACAAGACAGGACAUUGGUCGCUUCCAAAUGAUCAUCACCAAGCUGAUGCAGACAUUUCUCAGUGCAGAAGGAACCAUGAGUGCCAAUUCUGAUCACUUGUCAAGGAAGGUCGCCGGGCAAGCACUGGCAAUGCUGACAGUACAAAGUGUUCAAAACUGCUUGGUUAUACUGAAGGAGCCAGAGUUCAUGAAGGAACUCAAAAUCUUGAUCCAUGAUAAACGGUACAUAUAUGUGGCGGCAAGCAUGUUGCGUAAUCUGUGCCUGCACAGUGAAGCCGAGCUCAGAGACUCAGACCUGAAGGAGCUAUGUCAUACCUUACGAGAGGUGUGGGAAAGAAUAAUGGACGUGGAUGGGGCAAACUAG
rnacentral:rRNA from 1 species